AGAAUCAACGCUGGCGGCGUGCCUAACACAUGCAAGUCGAACGCGAAAGCCCCGCAAGGGGCAAGUAGAGUGGCAAACGGGUGAGUAACACGUGGGUGACCUGCCUUCGAGCGGGGGAUAACGUCCCGAAAGGGACGCUAAUACCGCAUAACAUCCUGCCUUUGAAGAGGUGGAGAUCAAAGCUGGGGAUCGCAAGACCCGGCACUUGAAGAGGGGCCCGCGCCUGAUUAGCUAGUUGGUGGGGUAAUGGCCUACCAAGGCAACGAUCAGU
rnacentral:rRNA from 1 species